UGUAACAUGCUGUGGUGACCGGAAGAACGG
rnacentral:piRNA from 1 species